rnacentral:misc_RNA from 1 species
GAUGAAGAACGCAGCGAAAUGCGAUAAGUAAUGUGAAUUGCAGAAUUCAGUGAAUCAUCGAAUCUUUGAACGCACCUUGCGCCCUUUGGCCAUUCCGAAGGGCAUGCCUGUUUGAGUAUCAUGAACACCUCAACUCUCAUGGCUUGCCAUGAUGAGCUUGGACUUUGGGGGUCUUGCUGGCCUGUGGUCAGCUCCUCUCAAAUGAAUUAGCUUUCCAGUGUUUGGUUGGCAUCACAGGUGUGAUAACUAUCUACGCUUGUGGUUUCCACCAGGUAAACUUCAGUAACAUGGGGGUUUGCUGGAGCUCAUAAAUGUCUCUCCUCAGUGGGGACAGCUCUUUGAACGUUUGAUCUCAAAUCAGGUAGGACUACCCGCUGAACUUAAGCAUAUCAAUAAGCGGAGGA